rnacentral:rRNA from 1 species
UUAAGCUACUAAGGGUGUACGGUGAAUGCCCUGGCAUCAGAAGGCGAUGAAGGACGUAGCUAGCUGCGAUAAGCCCCGGGGAGCCGCAAGCAGGCCGUGAUCCGAGGAUGUCCGAAUGGGGAAACCCAGGCGAUGAAUGCCGCCUAUCCUCUGCUGAAUACAUAGGCAGUGAGAAGCCCACGCAGGGAAGUGAAACAUCUCAGUACCUGCAGGAAUAGAAAUCAAUCGAGAUUCCCCCAGUAGUGGCGAGCGAAAAGGGAACAGCCUAAACUGUGCCGAUGUCAAGCCCGUGUGCGUUGUCGGCGUAGUGUUGUAGGCCUUCAUUGGACGGUGAUACGGAGCCGUCGGCGAGUUACAAAUUAGGAUCGUAGCAGAAUAGUCUGGAAAGGCUGACCAUAGAAGGUGACAGUCCUGUAUGUAAAACGACCCUAACUCGUUGAAUGGAGGUCCUGAGUACCACGGGGCCCGAGAAACCUUGUGGGAAUCUGGGACGACCACGUUCCAAGGCUAAAUACUCUCUGAUGACCGAUAGUGAACCAGUACCGUGAGGGAAAGGUGAAAAGAACCCCGGUGAGGGGAGUGAAAUAGAACCUGAAACCGUACACCUACAAGCAGCGAAAGGGCUAUGCCCGCAAGGGAAUGCCUGAUCGUGUGCCUUUUGCUUAAUGAGCCUGCGAGUUAUUUAGCGUAGCAAGGUUAAGGCGAAGAGCCGGAGCCGUAGCGAAAGCGAGUCCGAAUUGGGCAUUGAGUUGCGCUGAAUAGACCCGAAGCGAAGUGAUCUACCCAUGGCCAAGGCGAAUCCGCCGUAACAGGCGGAGGAGGCCUGAACUGAUGUUAGUUGCAAAUGGCUCGGAUGAGCUGUGGGUAGGGGUGAAAGGCUAAUCAAACUUCGUGAUUGCUGGUUCUCCCCGAAAUAACUAGAGGGUUAGCCUCGUCUCAGCCGUGACGGAGGUAGAGCACUGAAUGAGCUAGGGGCGUUCCAACGCUACCGAACUCAAUCAAACUCCGAAUGCCGUUACUGGACGAACGGGAGUUAGACUACGAGUGCUAAGAUCCGUGGUCAAAAGGGAAAUAGCCCAGACCGUCAGCUAAGGUCCCUAAUCGUGAGCUAAGUGGAAAAGGUUGUAAGAUCGCUCAGACAGCCAGGAGGUUGGCUUAGAAGCAGCCAUCCUUUAAAGAGUGCGUAAUAGCUCACUGGUCGAGCGAUUUUGCGCCGAAAAUGUAACGGGGCUCAAGUUCACAACCGAAGCUACGGACUUGCAUCGCAAGAUGUGAGUGGUAGGGGAGCAUUCUCUGUGCGGUGAAGGUUGACCGACAAGGACAACUGGAGCGCAGAGAAGAGAUUAUGCAGGCAUAAGUAGCGAUAAACGAUGUGAGAAUCAUCGUCCCCGUAAGCCUAAGGUUUCCUGGCCUAUGUUCGUCAGGUCAGGGUGAGUCGGAUCCUAAGCCGAGGUCGACAGACGUAGGCGAUGGCAAACAGGUCAAUAUUCCUGUACCACCGUAUUGACGUUAUCAGCGAAGGGGGGACGCAGAAGGGUAGGCACCGCCGGGUCCCUGGAAUACCCGGUCCAAGCAUGUAGGCGGGAACUGUAGGCAAAUCCGCGGUUCCGUUAACGCCGAGAUGUGAUGGGGAGGCCGCAAGGCCAUAAACGGGCUGAUCCCACGCUGCCGAGAAAAGCCUCGUAGCGAGUCAGUACGAUGUCCGUACCGCAAACCGACACAGGUAGGUGGGUGGAAUACACCAAGGGGCGUGAGAGAACACUCCCUAAGGAACUAUGCAAUUUAGCCCCGUAACUUCGGGAGAAGGGGUGCCCUGCGUAAGUGAGGCCGUACAGGCCGAGCUGAACGGGGUUGCAAUAAAGUGGCUCUAGCGACUGUUUACCAAAAACACAGGACUCUGCAAACACGAUAGUGGAUGUAUAGGGUCUGACGCCUGCCCGGUGCUGGAAGGUUAACCGGAGGAGUUAGCCGCAAGGCAAAGCUUUGAAGGGAAGCCCCAGUAAACGGCGGCCGUAACUAUAACGGUCCUAAGGUAGCGAAAUUCCUUGUCGGGUAAGUUCCGACCUGCAUGAAUGGCGUAACGA